UACAGAGGGUGCAAGCGGUUGUUCGGAAUUAUUGGGCGUAAAGGGCGCGUAGGCGGUGCUAUAAGUCUGUGGGUGAAAAUCUCUGGCGUCCAACUCAGAGUCUGCCAUAGAAACUGUAGUGCUAGAGUGUGGGAGAGGUGAGUGGAAUUCCCGGUGUAGCGGUGAAAUGCGUAGAGUAUCGGGAGGAACACCUGUGGCGAAAGCGGCU
rnacentral:rRNA from 1 species